rnacentral:rRNA from 1 species
UACGGAGGGUGCGAGCGUUGUCCGGAUUUAUUGGGUUUAAAGGGCGCGCAGGUGGCCCGUUCAGUCAGUGGUGAAAUGCGGCCGCUCAACUGUCGAACUGCCAUUGAUACUGCCUGGCUUGAGAGGAGUGGAGGGCGCCGGAAUGGACGGUGUAGCGGUGAAAUGCAUAGAUAUCGUCCAGAACGCCGAUUGCGAAGGCAGGUGGCUACGCUUCGUCUGACACUGAGGCACGAAAGCGUGGGGAGCGAACAGG